rnacentral:rRNA from 1 species
UACGAGGGGGGCAAGUGUUGUUCGGAAUCACUGGGCGUAAAACGCACGUAGGCGGACUCUUAAGUCGGUGGUGAAAUCCUGGAGCUCAACUCCAGAACUGCCUUCGAUACUGAGAGUCUUGAGUCCGGGAGAGGUGAGUGGAACUGCGAGUGUAGAGGUGAAAUUCGUAGAUAUUCGCAAGAACACCAGUGGCGAAGGCGGCUCACUGGCCCGGUACUGACGCUGAGGUGCGAAAGCGUGGGGAGCAAACAGG